CAAUAGCGUAUAUUAAAGUUGUUGCAGUUAAAAAGCUCGUAGUUGGAUUUCUGGUGGGAGCGAUCGGUCUGGCGCUUAGCGCGAGUACUUGCAUCGUCUCCGGCCAUCCUUGGGGAGAGUCUGUCUGGCAUUAAGUUGUCGGGCAGAGGAUCCUCAUCGUUUACUGUGAAAAAUUAGAGUGUUCAAAGCAGGCUUAUGCCGUUGAAUAUAUUAGCAUGGAAUAAUAAGAUAGGACUUUGGUACUAUUUUGUUGGUUUGCGCACCAAAGUAAUGAUUAAUAGGGACAGUUGGGGGUAUUCGUAUUCCGUUGUCAGAGGUGAAAUUCUUGGAUUUACGGAAGACGAACUACUGCGAAAGCAUUUACCAAGGAUGUUUUCAUUAA
rnacentral:rRNA from 1 species